CCCGCACUGCCUGCUGUUACCGUUACCGGAGCUAAGACAGAGUAAGCAGUCUGAGCUGAGCUCCUUCUCCAUUGUGUGGGUGCAUACAGAUAAAUGGGUAGGCUGGUUCUGGAAUGUCAAGGCACAUUAUUGUAGGUACACUGGGUGACAAUGAGUUUGCAUGACUAUAGAGGCUGGGGAUGAACUGCAAAGGCGAGGAAGCUAAGGAAGAUCAUCAUGGUGGUCUGGGACAGACAGAGAAGAAAAAUAAAAAGAGAUAGAAGACAUCACUGGAUGUACAGUAAAUGUUUAUUUUGCAUCUGAUCAGUACUGGAUUCACUGUACAGCUGGUGGCAAAAUGAUAGCACCAUGGUACCUUUUUUGGAAACGACUCUACGCCUAUCCUUACAAUUGUUUAGCCAUAUCUCCCUCUACUACAAAUGGUACUAAAUAUGCACAUGGAGGUGUAGGUAUGUAUUGCUAUAUAAUUAUAUUAAUAAACAACUCAUUUUAGGCUGGGAGGACGCAAGUUUGGAA